rnacentral:lncRNA from 1 species
GAGAGUACCCGUCCCCGUGUGCAUUUUUGCCAUCCCUACAUCUCACACGGAAAACCAAUUUCCUCUUUCCUCCCUCUUCACUCACUCCCUCACCUCAUGGCUCCCUCUCCCUCUUCACUCACUCUCUCCCCUCCACUACCUCACGACACGCCUCACCAGGGCCAUCAACAGCGGCAUGACCCGGCGACGAUAUGCAGCGGCUGAUGUUAACUUGUUAUUAUGUUUAGUAAAGUGAGCUUUGGGGCUUUGUUUGAUCGUUGUUCUCUUGCCUUUUUUCAUUUACAGGUAUGUUAUGGAACAUGACAAAAACAAAGCUCCUGAAUUGAGACAGGUUCUUAUCUUUCACAUUUUAUUUUUGUUAACAGCAUUGUUUGUUGUCGAUUUCAAAUUAUAUGAUUUCAAUUUGUUUCAGUGUGAUUGGAGUAUUUGAUUGAAAAGCUUAAAUACAACUUUGGGGAUUGGUAGGGGGUAUAGUUCAAUGAUUUAACGUACUCAUAAAAAUGUUAUAUAAUUCAUACAUACAUCAUAUCAAACUUGAACUUAUUAAGGUUUAACUGCAAAUUACACACUCCACCAAUCCCGCAGCUACGUGUCAGUCUUUAAUUUUAUUUAUUAAUUUGAGAACAAAUGCAACGUACAUGGUCUGAUAAUCUAGGAAUGACUAACAAGAGAAGUUGAAAGUCUGAAAGCACAAGGGGCCAAAAAUGAAAAUUGUGCUUGCUACAAAAUGGAGCAAGAUCUUCUAAAAAUUGAUGGAAGAUAUGGCCUAGAUGGUGCUCUUGGAAAGCUUUGCUUGUUAGUUAUUCAUACGAUUAAUAAUAUCAAGACUUUUGGAAACAUGGAAACAUGUAUCUAAAGGAAAAUCAUGAUGAGCUGGGAGAAAGUGUAAUAGUAGAUCCGAUAUCAAGUUUCAUUUUCUUUAUUUGGUAAUAUGUUUUGGUUCUUUUUACCUCGUGAGUUUCUUUUAAUGUACAACUCACAGUUAUUAACACUCUUAAGUUAUGAUAACUUAGAAUCCUAGAAAACAGAGUUGAGUUGGUUAAUUAAUUUUUUUGAUUUCGUUGCAAUCUAAUCCAUUAUAUACAGAAGAACUGUUGAGAAUAUAUAGAAAUUCUUAUGAACUCUGCUGUACCGUACAUCCGCCUUGGCCGUAAUGGAAGGGAGUUUUUGUUCCAUAAGUGAAGAUUUAAAGUCUUGGAAGAUUUUAUUGGAUGUUUUUUGAUUACUGGGUUUGUUCUUAAGUGAGCCUCUUCCAAAUGAUAAGCUGAAUGGAAAAGGUUGUAAAGAUAGUUACUGAAGUGCGCAGAUAAUUAGUAGUGAAAUUCUUUCGUGCCCAUGUUCUUUUAGAAUCAACCCCUUUUUUAGUGAGUGGCAUCUGAUUCUACAGCAAUCUUUUUUCAAGGGAUCUUAUCCAGAACUUCUAGUGGGUGGGUAUAUAAUGAAAUCAUCAUGGCAUGACCCUGACAUGUGUCUGGAGCUGUAUGUUAUCAUGUUCACAUCUUGAUACUUGUCAAAGUCUGAAACAUGAGAUUUUUUAUGCUUCUGAUGAAGAUAUCACCUUUUGGCAUGGGAUGGUUAGUCAAAUACUUUUGGCCUCAGUUAAUUGUGGAUGGAAUACAUUUAUAUGGAAACUUAGUUGAGCUGUCAGCUGUGCAUCUACCUCCUGUAUACUCACAAACUAGUCAUUCAAGUACACUUUGUGUAGGUUUUUAAAUGUUUAAUACCAAUUGAAUUAUGUAGAUCAAAUUUUCAUAAUUGCCAGGCAUGAGUGACAACCAAAUAUAUUCAUAGGCAAGUUUGUAUUCAUUAAUGACAUUAUUUAUCGCCUCUGUUACUUAUUAAUUUUCUGAACAAUGUGAUUGAUUAUCUUCUGAAGGUUAUAGCAGCAACAGUAGCAAGUGAUACGGUAAAACAUUCCGAGGCAUUUAUUGGGAAGUCAAUAAUACCAUGUGUAAUAUAUAUGAGCAGCAUCUACCUCUGCCAUUGUNNNN